CAAAUCUUAUUUUGAGGCCCCAAAAUAGAUGCAGGAAGUGAAAAGCAAGACACACUUUUGGCAAUCAGCUUUGAAUUACUCAAUCACCCAGCCAACAUCAGUGGGCGCGUUUCUGAACAGUCAGCCGGCGAAUCACUCGGCUACAAGAAAUAACGGGACGGUUUUGGCGGAGGUUUCUCUAAAGUGAAGGUCAGUCAAGUGGUAGAAGUGGACAUUUGCCAGUCAUUUGAGAAGAGUAUGGCUUCCGACACUAUCUGGCAAAGCUCUGGUGACAGAUGGAGAAACUUCUGCCGCAAAUAAGAAACACACCAAAUCAGUAUUAUGGUGGUGGCGGUAGGAGGUCGUCCUGUAAUCGGUGGGGUUUAGCCCCUUUGCCAUCCAUCUCCAUCGUUGUGUCCUUGUUGUGUCCUUAAAGUCCUGCCUUGUCCGCUGGUGCUAGUCAGAGGGCCAAGCAGCACUGGUGCUUCUGUGGCUACCAUGUGGCAUACCUCCAUCGGCAUUUGAAUUGUAAGUUUCGAUAUUCAGCUGUCUCAGGAGCUGGUCUGAAGGAGACAUCAUGAUGGCCUGAUCAACCAAUGGGAACCGUACAGGAAGGAAAUUGGAUUCUAUUUUUUUCUACUGCAUUCUUCAAGAGAGAGUAACAAACUACUGGAAUUUUGCAAAUUAAACUGUCUCCAGAAUCUG